AUGUUGGCUUACCAAAUAUUGGCAAUGCCAAAUGUUGGUAGCAUACUAUGGCUGAGGACAGAGAGGAUAAGAAAGAAGCUGAGGAAGCAGGGUGUAAGGGGUCCCAGGCCUACUAUGUUCUAUGGCAACACCCAGGAGAUGAAGAGAAUCCGGCAAGAGGCCGUUUCUGCACGGAAGCAAGACACCAGUAACUACAUAUCCACCCUCUUCCCUCACUUCCUUAUCUGGAGGGAAACAUAUGGCUCGGUAUUCCUCUACUCAACAGGAGCUGUGGAGAUUCUGUAUAUUUCUGACCCCAGCAUGAUCAAGGACAGAGCCACUGUCAUGAUAGAACUAAUUGUGGGGGCUUCUGUCCCACUGCUAGAAGCAUGGGAGAGCAUGCUUGACGAUGCAGGAGGGAGUAAAGAGAUAGAUGUGGAUGGUUAUUUGCGGAAUUUUUCGGCGGAUGUAAUCGCCAGGGCAUGUUUUGGCAGCGAUUUCACAACAGGGGAAGAAAUAUUCCACAAGCUGAGGCAGCUUCAGAAGGCAAUUUCUCAGCAAGAUCCACUUAUUGGAUUAUCUGCAGUGUGGUAA
rnacentral:rRNA from 1 species